rnacentral:tRNA from 1 species
GGAGAGGUGUCCGAGUGGCUUAAGGAGCACGCUUGGAAAGCGUGUGUACGGUAUCCCCGUACCAUGGGUUCGAAUCCCAUCCUCUCCGCCA